rnacentral:snRNA from 1 species
GUGCUUACUUUGGCGGCUCACAUAUUAAAAUUGGACUGAUACAGAAGAGAUUAGCAUGGCCCCUAUGCAAGGAUGACGACACAAAUUUGUGAAGAGUUCCUUCCAUAU